UGGUCGCCCUGGUGCUCUUGGUCUCCCUCGAGGUCGAGGCCGGUGUGAGCUUCCACCCGAGGCCCAAGGAGAAGAUCAGCAACCGCAGCGGCAACAUGCCGAAAUCCAGCUCAAAGCGUCAGGUCUACGAUGACGUGGCCCUACAGGUGGAGGAGGGGCACAGCAACUCUGCAGCUGCACAGGUGGAGGUGCCCCCACAGUUGGGCCUGACAAAGAGCAAGGUGGACUCCGAACAGCUUGGGGAGCUGCUGAUGCAGGUCCUAAGCAGCCUCCUGGGAUCAGACGGCCAGGAAAGCUGAAUUCCCUCCUCCUGAGGCAUCGCCCGAGUUUUUGACGGAGCAGCAGGAACAGGGAACGGCGGCCCCGACGCACCUCGCUC